GGGGUUAUAGUACAACCUGGCUAGUAUUACCGCCUCCAGAGCGGUCGAUCUGGGUUCAAAUCCCAGUAGCCCCA
rnacentral:tRNA from 1 species